rnacentral:rRNA from 1 species
UUCGCAAUGCCCGAAAGGGUGACGAAGCGACGCCGCGUGUGGGAAGAAGGCCUUCGGGUUGUAAACCACUGUCGGGAGUUAAGAAAUACAAGGAUAUUAAUAGUGUCUUUGUUUGACUAACGCUCCGGAGGAAGCCACGGCUAACUCUGUGCCAGCAGCCGCGGUAAUACAGAGGCGGCAAGCGUUGUUCGGAAUUAUUGGGCGUAAAGAGCACGUAGCCGGCUAUGUAAGUCGGUUGUGAAAGCCUUCCGCUCAACGGAAGAACAGCAUCCGAUACUACAUGGCUUGAGUGCGGGAGGGGAGAGUGGAACUUCUGGUGCAGCGGUGAAAUGCGUAGAUAUCAGAAGGAACGCCGGCGGCGAAAGCGGCUCUCUGGCCCAUAACUGACGCUGAGUGUGCGAAAGCUAGGGGAGCAAACGGCAUUAGAUACCCCGGUAGUCCUAGCCGUAAACGAUGGGCACUAAGUAGAGGGGUUUUA